rnacentral:lncRNA from 1 species
AUGUAUUUGCCCUUCCCAGCUCUCUUCCUGGUCUCCAAAGAGGAAGCCUUAGGUUGGUGCUUGCCAGCCCCGGUUAAUCUCUACCCUGAACCCAAGAGAAAACAGGCUUUACAAGGCGCUCUGUCUCCAUCAGGGGCUGGAUCGGUUGUUCGUGUUUCUAUCAACCAGGGACCCAGCUUCUAUCCACUCACGCUUCUGCCUGACCCAGGCAUCCUCCUCUCUCCCNNNNNNNNNNNNNNNNNNNNNNNUGCCGCGAUGCCUGGUUUCCUGGUUUUCUCCGGGGCCUUCUACUCCCUCUGGCACCCACAGUCUUGAGAUAGAGGACACUUCCUUUGGACUCACCUGCACUGGCCAUGUGACGGAAACAGACCUCUCCAAAUAAAGACCCAAGCCUCACCCCCAGCCAGGGGUCUCACAGCAGAGCCAGAAAAAGGGAGGAGCCACCAGCUCACCCGCCCCCGUGCAACUCCUGUGCCCACACUCUCCUCCCUCUUGGGUCAGGCCUGCCUGAGAAGCCACAGGCUGGCCACUCUUGUUCCCAAAAUAGGCCUCCCAGCUAGGGGAGCAGAGAGGCCUGGAGGGAGGACUGGGGAACGCUCACCCCAUUCACGCUGUCCCUGCUGACAGAAGACCCCCAAAUGUCCAGCUGUGCACCCUGGGAGCUAAG